AAAGAUCUCUGUCUCUCAUGGAAGUACUUCACAAUAGCUCAAUAAAUGUUGGGAGAUUAAUUUCAGAAAAUAGAGACCAUGGAAGACGCACCACAACACUCUUGUGGCCAUUUUUGUAUCAUUAACGAGUUAUGCAGGUUAACUAGAGUGGAGAGUCGAGGAGAUGAUGAUUUAUAACAUGUAAUGUCUCCAAUCAAUAGUAUUCUCAUACAUAGGAUGCCAACUAGGUCGAUUCAAGGACGUGAGCAGGAAGGCGCAUAUGCAAAAGCUUAAGACGAGUUAUAUCGUCUAGAAGUGAGUCAUCAAUAACCAUCAUAGGCUCAUACACAACACUAAGAUACUAAUCACAUGCAAAGAAUGUUGCAGUAUGCACUUUGGAUGGAAAAAUGGGCCACCACUAUCUCACCAAACAUCUACGCAAAUGCUCCAAGCUUCGGUCCAAAUUUUGAACAAUUUUUCAAUGAUUCAAGAGAAUACCUCCCAAAUCAAAAUGCGAGACAACUAUUUACUACACAAGCAUCAUUGGGAAGAUAUUUUCAAGAUAAAAACUUUAUGAUCACUAAUAUACUAUAGAAGAUGAGAACCACGUGGGUUAAGGAGAUCAAGAGGUGAUGGAGACCUUAACAUCUAUGGGUCAUUUUCCACAAUUCCAUCCUCCUAAUGAUUUGUGAUUCGGGAAUUUCACAAUAUUUCUAGAUAUUUUUUUAUUUACUUUUGUAUUUGAAUUCAUAAGUAGUAGUUUAUUUUCCUAUGAUUUCCCUAUUUGUAAACUUCUUGUUCUUUAUUUAAGUAAUACAUAUGUCUUGUGUUUUGUUA
rnacentral:lncRNA from 1 species